UACUUUUAGACUUUUAUUCAAGUAGGAUUUUGACUGGGUGACUUUCACUUUUACUUGUGUCUUUCAAUUAAGGUAUCAUUUACUCAAGUAUGACAAUUGGGUACUUUUUCCACCACUUGGUGUAAUUCUGCUAUCUUUCCAGUUGGUGGGGGUGUUGCACAACCUUUACAGAGCCAACUGUUUGGUCUCUGAGGUGGAACAAGAAAAAUACUACUUUGUCAGUUUAAAGGUUAUAUUGGAUAACUAUAGGGCCAUUUGAUACUAAGGUUAAAUAAACAUCUCAUUAUUUCUCAUGAGUCACACCUAAUGGCAUGUGCUCUACAUACAUGAGUCCUACUUGCCUACCUGUGAAACAGGUUUGUAUUCUAGAAAUGACUAUACAUUGUUAAAAUUACAUUUGAAUAUAUUCAGGUUAAAUGGCAGUCAGACUGUAACUUACUUGGCUUCAGUGAAGUAAACAGUGAUAACUAUGGGGACAAACUAGUACAGGGACAGACACAGUGUGAUGCUCUUUCUACCUCUUCUUUCUUCAGUGUGUUUUGAGGGCUGAUUCAUUGAAUUUGACCAAAGAUGGGUAAUAUGCUAAUGACUUAAUUCCUUCAUCAGCCUCAAGUAUAGAACACAUUAUGAGUUGGCUGAAUGAGUAGUGCUUCUCUGGCACUCUUAUCUUACUGAAGAACUUUGAACAAAUGCACUUCAACAGUGGAAGAUUAGCUCUAUUUCUCACCGCUGUUGGUCCAAAGGUGUGUGCUUGUGUGUUUUGGGGUGUGUGUUUGUGUGUUUACCUACAGUGAUUCAUUGGCCCAGUCCAAAACAAUUGAUUGUUAUCAGGGUGAAAACAUUGGGUGCCAACUCAUUAUAACCUGCUUUUUAAUGUUUGGAAUUGUAGACCUUGAAGUCUAACUUGCAGAGCUCACAAAUGAAGUGUUUUAAAAUAGUAAUAAAUAUGUCUAAAAACAGAUUUUUUUUACUUCCUUUGCAAAUCACAGAAACUUCUGAGUAAAGAUUGGCUACCAGCAUCAUUGAAAUGAACACCAGCAGUACUUUACCCAUGUGUUAUUUAUUCAGGCACAGAACAAUGCAAUAAUAUAUCAUCUAGUGAUUAUUCUGGGUACGGGUGGCAGGAAUGGAAUGAAAAUCCUCUGACUUCAGCAGAUGGAAUGGAUAAUAAUCUCAUAUGUUGAUAUUAACUGCUUAGGUUUUGAGAAAGAGAUGUGAGUAGAAAAAGCCCUGAAGCAAUUUCUUUCCUCCCAAUGAACUCUGACAUCUCAGCCUUGAACAGCUUCAACAAAAUCUUUAAAACUGUUUGGCCUGGACCAUUCUAGCUGUCAAUCCAUUUGAAACAGUCGGUUUUGUGUGGGGUGACUGACCUCACAGCCAUUUCUAUAACAUUAUGCACUUUGCCUACACUAGUUUCUGUCUGCAAAUUGCUACCAAUUCUCUGGAUUAUAUGAGAUAUGAACAUCAGACAGCAUGAAAGGGAAAAAGAGAUAUGAGCCUGAAACUGAAAUUAACCAAAAUAAAUUAAAUUGAAUCCUGCCAUGAUUGAAAAAAAACUCCCUUUUUUCCCCCUGCGAUGGCUUUUAUCUAACUCUUAUCUGGAAUAUACUGUAUUUGCAAAAAUAGGUCACGAUAAAGAGCAGCGUAUUAGCACACGACUGAACCAGCCUAAUAGAAGCAUUAUAGUCAUAUGUACCAGCCAAGAGAUAAGACGCAUGUUAUCACACCAGGCCGUGUAAGUCAGAGUAAGACUAAUAGAAUGGAAGCCAAUCCAGUAAUCCAGUAGUUCUCCUCUGUAUGGAACCAGACAGUUGAGUUCCUCACACAAUAUCUGAAAAUCAAAGCAAAAUUUGAUUUUGUCGUCUUACGAGUUUUAUCCUGCCUUUGUUCUGUGUGUAAGACAGAGGCAAUUAGCAAUGAUACAAUGGUGUAUUGUUCAUUAUAGGCUUUCUGUUCACAAUGUAGGCUACAUUGUACUUUUGUUUUUACAUUAUACUUUAACAUUUUUACAUUUGAAUUAGGGUAUUUGCCCUUUGUGCAACUGUUGAUAGAUAAGGGGC
rnacentral:lncRNA from 1 species